AGGUUAAGAGACAUAUUUUUACAGUGAAUAAGAAAAAGCUUGCUGUAGAACUUUGUGGACCAAUAAAAGAAAAAUGUGAACUACUUGACAAACAUAGCUUUGCGGAUAAAGAGAAUGAGAAUUUAGAGCCAUCUUUGAAAGAUUCCAGCUUUGAGGAGUCAAAAAAAGUGCAAG